rnacentral:rRNA from 1 species
AUUGAACGCUGCGGCAGGCUUAACACAUGCAAGUCGAGCGAGCGGCGGACGGGUGAGUAAUGCUUAGGAAUCUGCCUAUUAGCGGGGGACAACAUCUCGAAAGGGAUGAUAAUACCGCAUACUAAUAGAGGAGCCUAAGGCGGAUUAGCUAGUUGGUGGGGUAAAGGCCUACCAAGGCGACGAUCGGUAGCGGGUCUGAGAGGAGGAUCCGCCACACUGGGACUGAGACACGGCCCAGACUCCUACGGGAGGCAGCAGUGGGGAAUAUUGCACAAUGGGCGCAAGCCUGAUGCAGCCAUGCCGCGUGUGUGAAGAAGGCCUUCGGGUUGUAAAGCACUUUCAGCGGGGAGGCGUUACCCGCAGAAGAAGCACCGGCUAACUCCGUGCCAGCAGCCGCGGUAAUAC